rnacentral:rRNA from 1 species
GCCUACAGCCAUAUCACCCUGAACGCGCCCAAUCUUGUCUGAUCUCGGAAGCUAAGCAGGGUUGGGCCUGGUUAGUACUUGGAUGGGAGAUUUUUAUAGGAAUUCCAUUGACUCUGUAGAUU